GAUGAACGCUGGCGGCGUGCCUAAUACAUGCAAGUCGAGCGAGCGGACGAGAAGCUUGCUUUUCUGAUGUUAGCGGCGGACGGGUGAGUAACACGUGGAUAACCUACCUAUAAGACUGGGAUAACUUCGGGAAACCGGAGCUAAUACCGGAUAAUAUUUUGAACCGCAUGGUUCAAAAGUGAAGGACGGUCUUGCUGUCACUUAUAGAUGGAUCCGCGCUGCAUUAGCUAGUUGGUAAGGUAACGGCUUACCAAGGCAACGAUGCAUAGCCGACCUGAGAGGGUGAUCGGCCACACUGGAACUGAGACACGGUCCAGACUCCUACGGGAGGCAGCAGUAGGGAAUCUUCCGCAAUGGGCGAAAGCCUGACGGAGCAACGCCGCGUGAGUGAUGAAGGUCUUCGGAUCGUAAAACUCUGUUAUUAGGGAAGAACAUAUGUGUAAGUAACUGUGCACAUCUUGACGGUACCUAAUCAGAAAGCCACGGCUAACUACGUG
rnacentral:rRNA from 1 species